UCACAGUAUAUUAUGCCUCCACGUUAGUUGUGCUAACUCAUUGAAUUGUGGGAUGUUCCUUCAACAUAUAGUCUACUAUUAUUGCAUGACCUGUACUUGAUCUUUAGCUUUAAUUGUUUUAAAGCUUUUCCAUUUUUGUUUUCCAUGCAUGCAUCAUCAAUCAUCAUUGGCAAAGAUUUACUUUAUUUCUGCUUUUCAUUUACAAUCAUAUUUAUCGUGGCUGAAAUGUUAUGUUGUUAGUCAGAGGCAUGACUUCAUUUUCAUAAAAGAAAAUAAUUCUGCACAACUGUCUUUGAAUAUGCUCUUGUUUUCUACUUACAGUGUGAUUCCAAAACUGAAGAUGUUAACUUCAAAAAAAAACUACAGAUAUUUGUUAAGGUGCAGUUCCAAACAAGGUGUGAGAACAUGACUCGUCAUGUCGAGGGAUGAAAGGGUUUCUAUCAAAGCAUCAGACCAACGCUGAAGGGUCUGUCUAUUAUUGUAGACGUGUCUUAACAGCCUUCACUCAACCACUAUGGAUUGACUUUGUGAGGAUGAUUCUAGACAAAGAACUGAGGAUUGACUGUAGAAAUUUUACUCCCAUGGAUUAUGUCAAGGCUUGAUGUUGUACAACACAGGGAGAUCAUGUUUUGCAUAUUUGAAGGCAAGUGCUCAAGGUCAGGGCUGGCGGAUUGUGCAUCUAUUGAAAUUGAGGAAUGUCAUGGUUUUCGAAUGCCCUAAAACUCAUUGCAGAUUGUAGUUCUCCUUGAAUUUGGAGGUAGUCACCGGGGCCUAAAAUAAUUUGUCCUGGUUAUGACCUUCACCCAUCGGAUGCAGCUAUGAAGGUAGUAUUCUGAUUCGCAGCUUCUAUGGCCUAAAAGAAUGGGUGCAUAUACAAGAUGCAAAAAAAGGUAUUUGAGGUAUAUAGCACCAGCACAGAGCACAUCUAUCUACAUUGUAGAGAACACAAAUGAGUUUUUCAGUACUUCUUUUUUUUUUUGAAAUUGCAGUAUACAACUAACAUGUGUAGUAUAAGUGGACUCUGUUGACAUUGGAAAUUCAGUUUGAUUUGGCUAUACUAGCC